GACGAACGCUGGUGGCGUGCUUAACACAUGCAAGUCGAACGAUGAAGCCGGAGCUUGCUCUGGUGAAUUAGUGGCGAACGGGUGAGUAACACGUGAGUAACCUGCCCUUGACUCUGGGAUAACUGCUAGAAAUGGUAGCUAAUACCGGAUACGACCCUCGGAGGCAUCUUCAGGGGGUGGAAAGAAUUUCGGUCAAGGAUGGACUCGCGGCCUAUCAGCUAGUUGGUGAGGUAAUGGCUCACCAAGGCGACGACGGGUAGCCGGCCUGAGAGGGUGACCGGCCACACUGGGACUGAGACACGGCCCAGACUCCUACGGGAGGCAGCAGGGGGGAAUAUUGCACAAUGGGCGCAAGCCUGAUGCAGCAACGCCGCGUGAGGGAUGACGGCCUUCGGGUUGUAAACCUCUUUUAGUAGGGAAGAAGCGAAAGUGACGGUACCUGCAGAAAAAGCACCGACUAACUACGUGCCAGCCGCCGCCGUAA
rnacentral:rRNA from 1 species